rnacentral:rRNA from 1 species
CCUACGGGUGGCAGCAGUGAGGAAUAUUGGUCAAUGGACGCAAGUCUGAACCAGCCAUGCCGCGUGCAGGAAGACGGCUCUAUGAGUUGUAAACUGCUUUUGUACGAGGGUAAACGCAGAUACGCGUGUCUUUCUGAAAGUAUCGUACGAAUAAGGAUCGGCUAACUCCGUGCCAGCAGCCGCGGUAAUACGGAGGAUUCAAGCGUUAUCCGGAUUUAUUGGGUUUAAAGGGUGCGUAGGUGGGCGGAUAAGUUAGAGGUGAAAUCCCGAGGCUCAACUGCGGAAUUGCCAUUGAUACUGGUAGGCUAGAGAGUAGUUGCGGUAGGCGGAAUGUAUGGUGUAGCGGUGAAAUGCUUAGAGAUCAUACAGAACACCGAUUGCGAAGGCAGCUUACCAAGCUACGUCUGACGUUGAGGCACGAAAGCGUGGGGGGCAAACAGGAUUAGAUACCCUAGUAGUC